rnacentral:rRNA from 1 species
UACGGAGGGUGCAAGCGUUAUCCGGAUUUACUGGGUUUAAAGGGUGCGUAGGUGGGCAGUUAAGUCAGUGGUGAAAUCUCCGAGCUUAACUCGGAAACUGCCAUUGAUACUAUCUGUCUUGAAUAUCCUGGAGGUGAGCGGAAUAUGUCAUGUAGCGGUGAAAUGCUUAGAUAUGACAUAGAACACCAAUUGCGAAGGCAGCUCACUACGGGAUUAUUGACACUGAGGCACGAAAGCGUGGAUCAAACAGG